GUUACACGGGUAUGGCAUACAGGUGAUAUGUAGGAGUACAUUUCACUGAGCAUGACCACUUUCGAAGUACUCUGCUGUCAAGAGUUGCUUUGAUGGGAUAUGGGUAUAUAUGUCCUUCGAAUUUGAGGCUAUCUCGAUGACUUGCAAGCAACUCAUUAUGCUUUGGUACCGGACUAUCUUGAUGGAAGAUUUCUAGGUACAGUCAAGUACUUGUGAAGUCUGAGUGCGAGUCAAGAUAGGAUUGACUGCUCCAAGUAAAAUUAGAGAUGAUGCAUCAUUGUGUUUUAAUUUAGUAAAACUUUGGCCAAAGUAAUCCUAAUGAGUCAUAGGAUUUUUAAGAUUGAGACACAAUAUGGACCACUCUUCUUGGGUUGACAGUUUAACCCAAAGUCAUCCUUGAGCAUCAAGUGUCAAAGGGAUGAAUUAUAUGGUAACUAUAUCCACAUGGGUUUUAGAGUGUUGCUGGACAUAUAUUCAGUCUAUCUGGACGUCGAGUCCCAUUGCUAGAUGAUUACAUCGAUUAGUACAGAAAUUAUUCUUAUGCUAUCGGUUUA
rnacentral:lncRNA from 1 species